GAUAAACGCUAGCGGCAGGCUUAACACAUGCAAGUCGAGGGGCAGCAUAGAUUGUAGCAAUACAAUUAGUGGCGACCGGCGCACGGGUGCGUAACGCGUAUGCAACCUACCCGUCACAGGGGGAUAAUCCGGAGAAAUCUGGUCUAAUACCCCAUAACAUAUGGAUCGGCAUCGGUUCAUGUUGAAAUUUUCGGAGGUGACGGAUGGGCAUGCGUAGCAUUAGCUUGUUGGUGAGGUAACGGCUCACCAAGGCGACGAUGCUUAGGGGGACUGAGAGGUUUUCCCCCACACUGGUACUGAGACACGGACCAGACUCCUACGGGAGGCAGCAGUGAGGAAUAUUGGUCAAUGGGCGCAAGCCUGAACCAGCCGUGCCGCGUGCAGGACGACGGCUCUAUGAGUUGUAAUCUGCUUUUGUACGAGGGUAAAGUGGGUUACGUGUAACCUUUUGAAAGUAUCGUACGAAUAAGGAUCGGCUAACUCCGUGCCAGCCGCCGCAGUAA
rnacentral:rRNA from 1 species